rnacentral:lncRNA from 1 species
CAACUUUUCAUGAAGCAAAUGCGUGAGAUUUGGUCAAAAUUGAAAAGAUCAAAGAGAAAAAAACAAUAGAUCACAGGAAAAUGCCGCCAAAAAAGCAUGAACAUGCGUGAGACUUGGCAGAGCUGGUACUAUAGAUUUUAUUUCCUAAAAUGCUCAAUGGCCAACAAGGAUAAGGAACAGCCAUGUUUAACUAAAUGAGAUUUAUGAAUAAAUGAAAUGUUUUAAUGUUAGAUUAAUGUAGGUUAUCUCUAGUUACAGAGAAAAGGAAUAAAGAUUCACUUAAUGGAUGUAGAAUUCAUAUUCUUUGUACAGGGUCUACCUAUAGUAUUCCCUUGAACUUUUUGAAGAUUUGGUGAAAUAGUUUCAGAUUAGAUUGAUUUUUUUACAAAUUAGAAUCAAGAUCGACCUCUUGCAGCAAUGUUUAUUUAAAAUAUUGGGAUGAACAAUCGUUCCAUACAUUGUUAGUGGCAAGUUAGAACAUCCAUGUUUCAAAGAAAGAUAAAAUUAUGAUUUCCCAUGGGUUUCAAUGCAAACAUAUACUGCAUCUUAACCCAUUUUAGGUGUUUGAUGAACUCCAGACACCACUGUCCUAUACAUGUCCGUUUUUAAAAGCCUUAAUUUGACCUUGACCUUCGGUGUGUGACCUACAAGUCAGUAGAACUUUUCUUUCCAUUGUGUUUGACGGUGAAAUUUGAACAUAUAUACAAGCCUUUGAAGCGUUUAAUUUAGCAUCUGGAACCACUUUUCAGCAUACAUUUCAAUAUACUGCUUUUAGUUAUAGUUACCCUGACCUUUGACCUCAUAAUCAAGAGUGAUCUGUGACCAUGAAUGUACAAUUGCAGUUAGGUCUAUUGGAUUUAGCAUCUGGCCACUGAAAUGGCAGUUUGGGAAUAAUAAUACAUUGUACAAGUCAAAAUAACUGUUCAGGUAUUGCUUUUCAGAACAGGCAGUGAAACUAACCAGAAGAUCACAACCAGGUUGUGUUUUCUGCCAAUGAACAUUUUAUUAAGAUAGGACAAAUAAUAAUUUGGUAUUGAAAGAAAAAAUGCUAAUGCAGACAAAUGACUUGUACAAAAACAUCACAGCAUUAUUGCUUGCACUGCGAAGUUAAUUGUUACUACACAUUAAGCUGAUUCCUAAACCCUAUAUAAAAUUCAUCUUGAUUGUGAUACAUGUAUUGCAUAUGGUUAGGUUCAUACAAUGCUAAUGUAGAAAUCCUUUAAAACUUCAGAACCAAUUUAAAUUUUGCAGCUGAAUGUAAACAAACUAUAGAGCCAUAUAGAUGAAGAGAGAUUAAAACCAAUGAAACAUAAGUCAAUGAGGUCACAAAAAAUAAUCUGACUUUGUAGCAAAUUGUAACAGUUGAAUAACCUCAUGAAUAACAUUUAGACAUUAUCUUAGAUCAACAUUUCAAAAAAUCAUUGCUUAUAGACUAUAUCCCAUAGAAACUUGUUAUGUGACAUUUUAUUACAUGUAUUUUACUGAAUAUAACAUGUCUUAAUUCAAACGGAUGUCUGACUCUCAAAUUUCUCAUGAAAAUAGAAGAUUUACUAUAAGAAAAUAAUAUGAAAGCUUAGUUUGGACAUGCAAUAAAAAAAAACUCUAACUUUUGGAAUGACUCUUCACAAAAAUAUGUAUAGAAACCCUUGGACCCACAUUCAUAACUUGGGAUACAAUUUACAAACUAGAUACCCUAAGGAACAUUCAGUUAAAGUUUGGAAGUAUUUGGCCCAGUAGUUUCAGAGGAGAAGAUUUUUGUAAAAGAUUACUAAGAUUUACGAAAAAUGGUUAAAAAUUGACUAUAAAGGGCAAUAACUCCUAAAGGGGUCAACUGACCAUUUCCGUCAUGUUGACUUAUUUGUAAAUCUUACUUUGUUGAACAUUAUUCCUGUUUACAGUUUAUCUCUAUCUAUAAUAAUAUUCAAGAUAAUAACCAAAAACAGCAAAAUUUCCUUAAAAUUACCAAUUCAGGGCAGCAACCCAACAACAGGUUGUCUGAUUCAUCUGAAAAUUUCAGGGCAGAUAGAUCUUGACCUGAUAAACAAUAUUACCCCAUGUCAGAUUUGCUCUAAAUGCUUUGGUUUUUGAGUUAUAAGCCAAAAACUGCAUUUGACCCCUAUGUUCUAUUUUUAGCAAUGGCGACCAUGUUUGUUGAUAGAUCAUAACUUGGGAUACAAUUUACAAACUAGAUACCCUAAGGAACAUUCAAUUAAAGUUUGGAAGUAUUUGGCCCAGUAGUUUCAGAGGAGAAGAUUUUUGUAAAAGAUUACUAAGAUUUACGAAAAAUGGUUAAAAAUUGACUAUAAAGGGCAAUAAUUCCUAAAGGGGUCAACUGACCAUUUCCGUCAUGUUGACUUAUUUGUAAAUCUUACUUUGCUGAACAUUAUUCCUGUUUACAGUUUAUCUCUAUCUAUA